GGUUAAAGUGAAAAACAUGUUUUAGUUUUAAAAUAUUGAAAGAGACAUUUUAACCCGACUCAGUUGGAUGCGCAGUAUAGUUACGCCAAACUGGCUUAUUGGAAUUUAGUAAAGAAUAUUGAAUAACUUGUUGCUUUGCCAGUAUGGGGAAACGUCCAUUGAGAAUUUCGAAGAAGCUUUCAAGACUGGGUUAAACAUAUGGAUUUGACUUAAAAACACUGUACUGUAAAACCACAAGAAAUAUUAUGACCAUCUCGAAAGACUGUGAGUGACUUACUUGGCUAUUAAUCGUGCUUGGAUAAAGGCUACGGUGUUGUCAUCGUUGAAAGUAUACGUCGGCGUUUGCGAACUUUUGCUGUAUGUCACCAUAUCAUCACUUAUGAGAAUGAUACUUAGUAUAUAUAUUUG